AGGCUUACCUGGCGGGGAACUUCUGUGGUCACGAGGGUGGUGGUCCCGGGGCGAGGCUGAGCCAUUGCGCUGCGGACGUGCUGACCCCUGCGAGUUCCCCAGAUGCGGGAAACACAACUGCAUAAUUUGGGGUAGUGGGGGACUGCGUUCACUCUUCUGAA
rnacentral:snRNA from 1 species